GCCUACGGGGGGCUGCAGUGGGGAAUAUUGCACAAUGGGCGCAAGCCUGAUGCAGCAACGCCGCGUGCGGGAUGACGGCCUUCGGGUUGUAAACCGCUUUCAGCAGGGACGAAGCGCAAGUGACGGUACCUGCAGAAGAAGCACCGGCUAACUACGUGCCAGCAGCCGCGGUGAUACGUAGGGUGCGAGCGUUGUCCGGAUUUAUUGGGCGUAAAGAGCUUGUAGGCGGUUAGUCGCGUCGUAAGUGCAAACUCAGGGCUUAACCCUGAGCCUGCUUGCGAUACGGGCUGACUAGAGGAAGGUAGGGGAGAAUGGAAUUCCCGGUGGAGCGGUGGAAUGCGCAGAUAUCGGGAGGAACACCAGUGGCGAAGGCGGUUCUCUGGACCUUUCCUGACGCUGAGAAGCGAAAGCGUGGGGAGCAAACAGGAUUAGAUACCCUAGUAGUCU
rnacentral:rRNA from 1 species